rnacentral:rRNA from 1 species
GGAGUUAGCCGGUGCUUCUUCUGCGAGUAACGUCACAGAUGUAAGGUAUUAACUUACACCCUUUCCUCCUCGCUGAAAGUGCUUUACAACCCGAAGGCCUUCUUCACACACGCGGCAUGGCUGCAUCAGGGUUUCCCCCAUUGUGCAAUAUUCCCCACUGCUGCCUCCCGUAGGAGUCUGGGUCGUGUCUCAGUCCCAGUGUGGCUGAUCAUCCUCUCAGACCAGCUAGGGAUCGUCGCCUAGGUGAGCCUUUACCUCACCUACUAGCUAAUCCCACCUGGGCUUAUCCAUCAGCGCAAGGCCCGAAGGUCCCCUGCUUUCCCCCGUAGGGCGUAUGCGGUAUUAGCAGUCGUUUCCAACUGUUAUCCCCCACAAAUGGGCAAAUUCCCAGGCAUUACUCACCCGUCCGCCGCUCGUCAUCUUCAAAAGCAAGCUUUUGAAAUGUUACCGCUCGACUUGCAUGUGUUAGGCCUGCCGCCAGCGUUCAAUCUGAGCCAUAAUCAAACUCUGA